GUUUAAACUGGUCCGUACCGGUUUAAACUGGUCCGUACUGGUCCCGCAGCUCCCUGGCUCCCUACAUGGACGAAUCGGUGACGCACGUGGUGACAUCACAGGACUGGGACCCCGCCUUCGAGGAGGCGCUGGAGCUCCGCCCCUCGCUGCUCUUCGUGCGUCCCCAUUGGCUGCUGCUCUGCGGGGAGCGGCAGCGCCCCCUGCCAGCCCAGCCCUUCCUGGUGACGUCAGCGAUGACGUCAUCGGCGCAGCAGUGACGUCAUCGCCGCGGACACACCCCCUUCGUAAACCACGCCCCUUUUCCUUAGCGCUAAUAAAGAGAAUUUGGGUAGAAA